UACGUAGGGUGCAAGCGUUAAUCGGAUUUACUGGGCGUAAAGGGUGUGUAGGCGGUUCUCUAAGUCUGGUGUGAAAUCUCCCGGCUCAACUGGGAGGGUGCGCCGGAAACUGGAGAGCUAGAGUACUGGAUGGGAGAGUGGAAUUCCAGGUGUAGCGGUGAAAUGCGUAGAUAUCUGGAGGAACACCGGUGGCGAAGGCGGCAUCCUGGACCAACACUGACACUGAUGAGCGAAAGCCAGGGGAGCAAACGGG
rnacentral:rRNA from 1 species